rnacentral:lncRNA from 1 species
AUCUAAUCAGAAGAAAGGAACAUUCCACAAAAUAUCUGACUGGCACUCUUUGAAAGUGCUCUUCUUUGAUCUCUUGAGAAGAAAGCCUAGACCACACUACAAGAAAUCCCACUGAGUUGUUGGUUGGGGAAACAUCAAAUGCACACCUACAGAAAAGCCUGGACUCAAUCACUUCCACCACAACCUCUGGCCUUCCGGGAGGUGAAGGUGGCGAUGCGGCCAAAGACUGACCUAGUGGAAGAAAAUGCAUAAUUUGUAAAUUAAAGAUUUUGAAGAAUGAAGACUGGCUUAUGGAAAAAGCAUAGAAAGAUUAUAACUCUGG